GCGACCUACGGGGGGCAGCAGUGAGGAAUAUUGGUCAAUGGCCGGAAGGCUGAACCAGCCAAGUCGCGUGAGGGAAUAAGGCCCUAUGGGUCGUAAACCUCUUUUGUCAGGGAGCAAAGGCGUCCACGAGUGGACGAAAGGAGAGUACCUGAAGAAAAAGCAUCGGCUAACUCCGUGCCAGCAGCCGCGGUAAUACGGAGGAUGCGAGCGUUAUCCGGAUUUAUUGGGUUUAAAGGGUGCGCAGGCGGAAGAUCAAGUCAGCGGUAAAAUUGAGAGGCUCAACCUCUUCGAGCCGUUGAAACUGG
rnacentral:rRNA from 1 species